UAUACAUGCAGUGAUUUUAUUGCAGUAAGUCACCAGGACGCAUUCCUACUACUAGUUGCCAUAAUUCUGAUUCUGAUUCUGAUUCCUGUUCUUAUUCCUGUUCUUAUUCUUAUUCAUAUACUUAUUCUGAUUUAGUUACAACAUUCAUCAGUGGGCGGUGCCACUAGCAUUCCAUUCAACAGCCCCUUCCAGGACAGUGGAGACAAACGGCACAUGUGGCAGGGCAUACAGGCGAUCAUGAACUACAAGACAGCUUCACCUGCCUGUGAUAUUGAUGCCUCCGUCCCAGAUGCUCUGAAUGACUUCUACUGUAUGUGCAGUUUGAGGUGCAGAACCACGUAGCGGCAAGGAAGACCAUCCGUCCCCCCAAUGAUCAGGUACUCUGUCUAUCCACGGUUAACUUACGGAAGGCUGCUGGACCAGACAACAUUCUUUGCAGGGAAUGUGUAGAACAGCUAGCAGAUGUCUUCAUUGACAUAUUCAACAUUUCCCCGAGCAGCGCUGUUUUCCUAUGUGCCUCAAGACAACCACCAUCAUCCCCGUCCCAAAAAAGUCUACAGUGUCCUGCCUCAAUGACUAUUGUCCCGUCACACUCACACCCAUUGUAAUGAAGUGCUUCGAGAAGCUCUUCAUGAAGCACAUCAAGACUCAGUUACAAUCCUCAGUGAAACCCCUACAGUUUGCAAAUCGUUUAAACCGCUCUACGGAUGAUGCCAUUGCCACGGCCCUUCAUUUAGGCCUCACCCACCUGGACAAUAAAGACACUUAAGUACAAAUGCUGUUCAUAGACUUUAGUUCUGCAUUCAACACAAUCAUCCUUCAUCACCUGAUUGGGAAACUGAGCCUGCUGGGACUGAACACCUCCCUCUGCAACUGGAUCCUGGACUUCCUGACUGGGAGACAUCAGUCAGUCUGGAUCAGGAACAGCAUCUCCAGCACCACCACACUGAGUACUGGAGCCCCUCACGGCUGCAUGCUCAGUCCACUGCUGUUCACCUUGCUGACUCACGACUGUACAGCAAUGCACAGUUCAAACCAUUUCAUCAAGUUUGCCGAUGACAUGACCGUUGUGUCUCAUCAGCAAGAAUGUGGAAUCAGCAUACAGAUAGGAGGUGCAACAACCUGGUGUAGAGCCAAUAACCUCUGAACCUUAAUCUCUGAAUGCUGAUAAUACUAAAAAGAUGGUUGAGACCACAGAGUGACCAGUCUCCGCUGAACAUUGACGGAUUACCUGUAGAGACCGUCAAAAGAAGCACCAAAUUUCUUGUCGUUCAUCUAGCGAAGAACUUCUGAACACCAGCUUCAUCACCAGGAAAGCUAAGCAGCAUCUCUACUUCUUAUGAAGGAUGAGAAAGGCACAUUUCCCUCCCCCCAUCCUGACUACGUUCUGCAUAGGGACCAUUGAGAGCAUCCUGAGCAGCUGCAUCACUGUCUGGUUUGGGAACUGCACCAUCUCGGAUUGCAAGACCCUGCAACGGAUAGUGAGGACACCUGAGAUCAUUGGAGUCUCUCUUCCCUUUAUCAUGGACAUUUACACCACACGCUGCAUCUGCAAGGCCAACAGCAUUGUGGAUGACCCCACACACUCAUUACACUCAUCAUUUGCACUCAUUACAAUACCUCAUGUAACUGCUGCUAUAAUAUUAAUGUGUUCAGUCCAGUAUUUCCACACCCCCCAGAUUGUUUGAACAUACAGUAUUUACACUGGUCGGUGCUCUUUUUGUUUAUUGUCUGUUGUGUAUUGUCUUUUUUGUAUUGUCUUGUAUUUUUUGUUUGCACUGUCUUUCUGUCUUUUUGUCUUUUGUCCUGCAGGUUGCACAGUUGCACUUUAUGUAUCUAGAUUAGAUUAAAUUAGAUUAGAUUCAACUUUACUGUCAUUACACAAGUACAAGUACAAGACAAUUAAUUGCAGUUUAGGUCUAACCAGAGUGCAAUAGCAGUAAAUGCAGGAUAUACAGGUUUUUUUUUUUACAAGAGUUAAAUAAGUUAAAUAAAGUGGUAAUAUGGAAGUGA